AACGUGCAUCCAUCAGGCGGCGGAUAUUACCGGAAGAAUGACACAAUUGGAUCGAGGAAUCGUCCACCCCUGGUCCACAUGGAUGUAAUUCGUGGGUCCUCACAGGGGCCUGUCCUAGAUCACCACAACACCAUCCUAACACCAGCAACAGAGGGAGCAUUCCACUGAGACCAUUGUGCUGUCAUGAAUGUGGCCCAGUGUGGACUGAAGAUGCUUAUGCUGUGAGACAUUCUAACCACCCAGCAGUGUUCCUGCAGAGCUCACCAACAGGGGUGACACACUGCCACCAACACCAUCAUGCCCUGCCAAUGCACUCAGUCCCGUCUUCCCCAUGGCACUCAUCGGCAGUGAAUUCUGCCCGCACCAGCACUGCCUUUGACCUGCAUGCUGGCCCACAGUUUGCACCUACCGGGCAGGUAAUUCAGAAAACUGCCAUGUUCAAAGCACAACGUAAUGUAUGAGAAGGGAAUAAUUUUAAUCCUUCAGUGUUGUAGCAUGCGAGCGGCUUUUGUCACAUGUCGCUGAAGUCUAUGUGGCUUGCACAAUGCAGUGCUAAAUUUCAGCCUAUUUUGAACUGUUGUUUUUCAUGUAAAGUAAUUCUUUUUGUGUGAAAUUAAAGAGGAAAUUUCAGGCUAUCA